rnacentral:rRNA from 1 species
GGUAUCCUGUCUGAAUAUGGGGGGACCAUCCUCCAAGGCUAAAUACUCCUGACUGACCGAUAGUGAACCAGUACCGUGAGGGAAAGGCGAAAAGAACCCCGGCGAGGGGAGUGAAAAAGAACCUGAAACCGUGUACGUACAAGCAGUGGGAGCACGCUUAGGCGUGUGACUGCGUACCUUUUGUAUAAUGGGUCAGCGACUUAUAUUCUGUAGCAAGGUUAACCGAAUAGGGGAGCCGAAGGGAAACCGAGUCUUAACUGGGCGUUAAGUUGCAGGGUAUAGACCCGAAACCCGGUGAUCUAGCCAUGGGCAGGUUGAAGGUUGGGUAACACUAACUGGAGGACCGAACCGACUAAUGUUGAAAAAUUAGCGGAUGACUUGUGGCUGGGGGUGAAAGGCCAAUCAAACCGGGAGAUAGCUGGUUCUCCCCGAAAGCUAUUUAGGUAGCGCCUCGUGAAUUCAUCUCCGGGGGUAGAGCACUGUUUCGGCAAGGGGGUCAUCCCGACUUACCAACCCGAUGCAAACUGCGAAUACCGGAGAAUGUUAUCACGGGAGACACACGGCGGGUGCUAACGUCCGUCGUGAAGAGGGAAACAACCCAGACCGCCAGCUAAGGUCCCAAAGUCAUGGUUAAGUGGGAAACGAUGUGGGAAGGCCCAGACAGCCAGGAUGUUGGCUUAGAAGCAGCCAUCAUUUAAAGAAAGCGUAAUAGCUCACUGGUCGAGUCGGCCUGCGCGGAAGAUGUAACGGGGCUAAACCAUGCACCGAAGCUGCGGCAGCGACGCUGAUGCGUUGUUGGGUAGGGGAGCGUUCUGUAAGCCUGCGAAGGUGUGCUGUGAGGCAUGCUGGAGGUAUCAGAAGUGCGAAUGCUGACAUAAGUAACGAUAAAGCGGGUGAAAAGCCCGCUCGCCGGAAGACCAAGGGUUCCUGUCCAACGUUAAUCGGGGCAGGGUGAGUCGACCCCUAAGGCGAGGCCGAAAGGCGUAGUCGAUGGGAAACAGGUUAAUAUUCCUGUACUUG